UUCCACUGCUCUACUCACGCCGCCAUCCUGGUUUCAUUAGUUUUUAAUUAUGGUUGUGAGAUGGUGAAGGCCUUUGGAACUGUUGUACUGAAGCUGAGCUCCUAUUAUUUCACAGGUUUUCUUGCAUUAUUGAUUGGAAUCCCAGGAUUUUCUGGAAAUCAAGGAUUAAUGGGACAAAAGGUGUUUUCAUGAAAGUUGAAGAUUUUGGCCUGGAUCUGCCGAUUAACAGGGGAGAUAUUGGGCCUCCAGGACCUCUAGGGAAGAAAGGAGCUCCAGGGAUACCUGGUUUGAUGUGAAGUGAUGGCUUACCUGGUCAGCCUGGAACACCAGUAUGUAAGGUAAAUAAAAUAAAAUUAACAAGAGUGAGGAGU